AGUCGAAACUCGGGCUCCGGCCCGGGUCCGUUGGGGAUAGCCUCCCAGCGCUGAUGAGACUGGCUAAC
rnacentral:hammerhead_ribozyme from 1 species